rnacentral:rRNA from 1 species
AUUGAACGCUGGCGGCAUGCCUUACACAUGCAAGUCGAACGGCAGCACGGGUGCUUGCACCUGGUGGCGAGUGGCGAACGGGUGAGUAAUACAUCGGAACAUGUCCUGUAGCGGGGGAUAGCCCGGCGAAAGCCGGAUUAAUACCGCAUACGAUCUACGGAUGAAAGCGGGGGACCUUCGGGCCUCGCGCUAUAGGGUUGGCCGAUGGCUGAUUAGCUAGUUGGUGGGGUAAAGGCCUACCAAGGCGACGAUCAGUAGCUGGUCUGAGAGGACGACCAGCCAGACUGGGACUGAGACAGGGCCCAGACUCCUACGGGGGGCAGCAGUGGGGAAUUUUGGACAAAGGGCGAAAGCCUGAUCCAGCAAUGCCGCGUGUGUGAAGAAGGCCUUCGGGUUGUAAAGCACUUUUGUCCGGAAAGAAAUCCUUGGCCCUAAUACGGUCGGGGGAUGACGGUACCGGAAGAAUAAGCACCGGCUAACUACGUG